rnacentral:lncRNA from 1 species
UUUUUGAAGGAGCCUUGAUGUGUCUUUGAUUAAAAUAACAAACAAAUUACUCACCUCUAAUACAAUGAUAAGUGGUAUCAAUUUCGUUUAGAUGGAAGAACGUUUAAUGUAAAUAUAAGUCAUAUUAGAGGAAAGAGCUUGAAUUGAGUUAUUCGGUAGUUCUAGUUUAUCACUGGUGUAGAUUAGAAUAUAGACACUCGCCUCCUACCUUAAAUUUCAUGUACAGGGUUUGGAGGAAGAUAUCAUGCGUCAAUCUUUGGAUAUCAUCUUCUUUUAAUGGAAGCAUCAUUCAUUUUUUAUGAAGAUACAAAUUAACAUCGUGGGAUCGUGAUAGUGACUUCUGACCUGUCUCAAGAAUGAAUACAUCCGUCACUACAGAGCUAUUUUUAUUUCCAAUAUAAGAACUAUCUCCUACUUCUGCUAUUUUUAAUAAUAAUUAAAGUUAUUAUAGGACAACUAUAUCUUAGUUUGGAAAAACUACCCCCACAUUCUACUCCCAGGACAUCCAUCUUCCGUCCUAUUGACUCCUAAGACAUUAAUUUCCAAAGCUCGCCUUAACAAUUAACUCCCCUCCCUCUCCAUCACUUUUGAUUCGUUUUUUCUAAUUAAUUAAAGUAGCUGUUUAUAAUUAAAGGAUCUAUAUUUUUUUAAUCUUUGAAGUUUAAAUAAUUCACAUAGCGUACUUAUAAUAUUCAUCCUAGGUAUAUAUAUACUAGAGUAAAUACUCUUGAUUCCUUUAUAUUUUAAAUUUAUUUAUCUUUAUAAAGUUUAUCUAUUUAUCUAAAUAAAAUAUAUGUAUUUAUA